GGUGAACGCUGGCGGCAUGCCUUACACAUGCAAGUCGAACGGCAGCACGGGAGCUUGCUCCUGGUGGCGAGUGGCGAACGGGUGAGUAAUAUAUCGGAACGUACCCAGUAGUGGGGGAUAGCCCGGCGAAAGCCGGAUUAAUACCGCAUACGAUCUACGGAUGAAAGCGGGGGAUCGCAAGACCUCGCGCUAGUGGAGCGGCCGAUAUCUGAUUAGCUAGUUGGUGAGGUAAAGGCUCACCAAGGCUACGAUCAGUAGCUGGUCUGAGAGGACGACCAGCCACACUGGAACUGAGACACGGUCCAGACUCCUACGGGAGGCAGCAGUGGGGAAUUUUGGACAAUGGGGGAAACCCUGAUCCAGCAAUGCCGCGUGAGUGAAGAAGGCCUUCGGGUUGUAAAGCUCUUUUGUCAGGGAAGAAACGGUAGAGGCUAAUAUCCUUUGCUAAUGACGGUACCUGAAGAAUAAGCACCGGCUAACUACGUGCCAGCAGCCGCCGUAA
rnacentral:rRNA from 1 species